GACGAACGCUGGCGGCGUGCUUAACACAUGCAAGUCGAACGGAAAGGCCCUGCUUUUGUGGGGUGCUCGAGUGGCGAACGGGUGAGUAACACGUGAGUAACCUGCCCUUGACUUUGGGAUAACUUCAGGAAACUGGGGCUAAUACCGGAUAGGAGCUCCUGCUGCAUGGUGGGGGUUGGAACGUUUCGGCGGUUGGGGAUGGACUCGCGGCUUAUCAGCUUGUUGGUGGGGUAGUGGCUUACCAAGGCUUUGACGGGUCGCCGGCCUGAGAGGGUGACCGGCCACAUUGGGACUGAGAGACGGCCCAGACUCCAACAGUAGGCAGCAGUGGGGAAUAUUGCACAAUGGGCGGAAGCCUGAUGCAGCAACGCCGCGUGCGGGAUGACGGCCUUCGGGUAGUAAACCGCAUCCGCCUGUGACGAAGCGUGAGUGACGGUAAUGGGUAAAGAAGCACCGGCUAACUACGUG
rnacentral:rRNA from 1 species